AAGAUGCUUCCACUAUAUUACAUGAUUUUUUCAGCAAAAACACAGUGUAGUUGGAUGAUCAAACGGUACUGUAAGAAAUAAGUUUAUCCAGUGUGUAGUGGCCAUUACGUGGCUGCAGGGCACAAAUAAGCAAUUCUUUUUAUUCUUAAAAUAAAGAUGUUUUAUUUUGUAGAAAAUUAUCAUUAUUGGUUAGAACUUUUGCCUCAUGGUUCCCUGUAGAGAUCUACAACAAAGUAAAAUGAAACGUUGAUGUAUGUUUAGUUGUUUACAUCUUGAGAGAGCAACUAUUGUCUGUGUACCGCCCCCUUAAAAAGGGGGAAAUUGGCUAGGUAAUUUACCAAGUAGAGUGCAACAAAACUUGAAAAAAAAAUGAUCAAAAUUGUGACAUUGAUGUAGACAAAACAUCAUUGAAUCUACUAUCUCGACCAUGUUGUGUCAAAAUGAGAUGCAGCCGGUGCGGCAAAGUGCACAUAUUCAUCUAGUUAACAUUAUGCUUAUGUGAUGUCAAAAGGAGUAGAUGUUGCCAUUGGCCGUUUAGCUUAUAUUUCGCCUAGGGGAGCACAUUUCCUUGUUAUGCAAGAGGUUGAGCUCCAUAUCGGGUAGUAUCAUGGCGUUGGUGUUCUACUUCCUUGUUUGAGCCUAGCACUCACGAAAUUUCUAUGCUUUAUUUAGGAGUUCUUGUUCUUGGCUUUUAGGUGGUACAGCUGCAGUUCUUCAUCUCAAGCUGGUCCUGGCUCUCGAUCUAUUUGUUUUAGGCAUCAGCACCCAUUUGUUAGAUUUUUCCAGGGUUAUGCAUGCACGCAAGUAGGAUAUAGCUGCCACCUCUAGUAGAAGCACGGAGUAUUCAGAUUACAUGGCACACACAUGCAUUUAGUUAAAAAACAUAAACGUUCAGACAUUUGCACUUUGGAGGGGGCUAGUGGAACCAUUGAGUCUGGUGUAGAAAGAGUGAUGAAAACUUCCAUAUAUUCCCCGUUGCAAUGAACCCAACCUUCUUAUUAGAAUUAUUUUUCUAGCUAGAUUUAACACCAGUCCUGCCCCACCUCAGGCUAUGCUUUUGUGUCAUAAUAGAACCUAUAUAUUCAGUUAUUUGGCUCAUUUGUUGUGAAUUUUGUAUUGUUCCUUGUGUACUUGUAUCGGUUAUAUAUUCCUUUCAACUUUAGCUUUAGCAUGGUUUAUGCCCCAUUACAAUUGGUCCAUGCUUGCUUAGUUGAUUUCUCAUUGUCAGUGGACUUCAGAACAAACUAGAUUUUGCAGUUGCAUGAGGCAAGCCAUUUUCUUUGUUGUGUGGGUAUCAGCCUACAAGUAGAUGUGCCUGGCGCUGUUGUCACCGUAUCAUCUACUUACGUGUUGCUUCAGUAAUGAAGUAACUAGUGUGUUUAUUAUUCUAGGUUUGAAGAUAAAUCUCUAUUUAGAGAUAGACGAUGGGCUUCUAUGAAUAGCACCGGCCCAUGGUUGAACCCUGAGCCUAACUGUUGCAAGUAUACUAUACUGAACUAUUUACCAGUGUUUUUUUGCAACAUUGAUCAAUGUCUUUGUUGGUUUCUUGUUAUGCCGCUAACAAGGCUAAAUAUAACCAACAAUGAAUUAAUGCUCGGUGAACUUGUUACUUGUGGGAUUGAUGAUUUUUUUACAUGCAGAAAUAUUUUGUGGGGUCUGACCACCCCCAACUGGAUUCGAUACAUGUGUUUAGUUAAUACUUGAAAAUGUGACAAGCAAUUUAAAAUGACGAUCAUAAUCCUACACCACCUUGAAUUUAGAAUGAUUGACAAGCAAUUUGUCAUCCUUAGUGAUUACUAAUAUAUUUUGACAAGAUUUUAGCCAUGAUGGCUGAUAUUUUUGCAUAAUAAUAUUAAGAUUUAGACUUGGGAUGCUAAUUCUAGGACAGGAUAAGCAACACGAUCAUGUUUUCCCAGAAUUGGUUGUAUUUCAUCCUUUCAUGGUUCAAAUGCCAUUCUGAUCAUAUAUAUUAUAAAUAUUCAUCUUUGACUAAGCUUUACAAUUUAGAGUUUUCAUUUGUUCUGAAUAGAACAAUAUUUGAUGCAAAUUACAUUGGUCACGUGCAAGUAUCAUUUGAGUGUUGCAUGACUCUGGUAAAUAUUUGUGCAUCUCAAAAUGAACUUUUUUGUUGUUACUUAUGCUAUAACUGUAGCUGCUAAUAUUUUUGUCAUCCUGUUAUCUGUCAAUAAUUUAUGGUAUGUUUCAGACUGUUCUUUUCUUUCUAGCAUAUCUUACGAUAUUUAUCAUGGUUUACUUGUGCUUCUAGGGCCUUGAGAUAUGUUACGACAAAGCUGUUUAAUCAGGUAUUUGCUUCGGUCCCGGAAGAUAUGAGAUGUCAUGAAGAACUAUUUGAGAAGGUGUCUUUGCUACAGCAGUUUGUACGUCCUGAAAACUUGGAUAUAAAACCAGAAUAUCAUAAUGAAACAUCAUGGCUGCUAGUUGAAAUUGUCGCCCCCUAAUCACAUGCUAGUUUAAUCAACCGCACCAGCAGAAGAUAACUUUGACAUGACUCUCCAAGCUGUUACUUGAGACCCCCAACGUGAUUGCAAUUAUAGCGCACCGAGCUUCUCCUGUUCCAGCUUGAAGUGAUGUAGCACAUGGAAUUAUUUGUUUUCUGCUUUAUAUUGUUCUACGGAAUACUGUGCUUCCAACCCUGUACACUCAAACAUCUGAUUUGGAUGUUAAAUACUGUGAUGGUACUGGUAUUCCAGAUUAUUUACUGUGGUGAUUAUGUUUUGGUUCUA